GAGUUUGAUCAUGGCUCAGGAUGAACGCUAGCGGGAGGCUUAACACAUGCAAGCCGAGGGGUAUAGUUAGCUUGCUAACUAGAGACCGGCGCACGGGUGCGUAACGCGUAUGCAACUUGCCCUACUGAAAAGGAUAGCCCUUCGAAAGGAGGAUUAAUACUUUAUAACAGAUUUAAUGGCAUCAUUAGAUUUUGAAAGAUUUAUCGCAGUAGGAUAGGCAUGCGUAAGAUUAGUUAGUUGGUGAGGUAACGGCUCACCAAGACGAUGAUCUUUAGGGGGCCUGAGAGGGUGAACCCCCACACUGGUACUGAGACACGGACCAGACUCCUACGGGAGGCAGCAGUGAGGAAUAUUGGACAAUGGGUGGAAGCCUGAUCCAGCCAUCCCGCGUGUAGGAUGACGGCCUUAUGGGUUGUAAACUACUUUUAUCUGGGGAUAAACCUACUUACGUGUAAGUAGCUGAAGGUACCAGAAGAAUAAGCACCGGCUAACUCCGUGCCAGCAGCCGCGGUAAUACGGAGGGUGCAAGCGUUAUCCGGAUUUAUUGGGUUUAAAGGGUCCGUAGGCGGAUUAAUCAGUCAGUGGUGAAAUCUCAUAGCUUAACUAUGAAACUGCCAUUGAUACUGUUAGUCUUGAGUGAUGUUGAAGUUGCUGGAAUGUGUAGUGUAGCGGUGAAAUGCUUAGAUAUUACGCAGAACACCAAUUGCGAAGGCAGGUGACUAAACAUCAACUGACGCUGAUGGACGAAAGCGUGGGGAGCGAACAGGAUUAGAUACCCUGGUAGUCCACGCCGUAAACGAUGGAUACUUGCUGUUGGGUU
rnacentral:rRNA from 1 species